UACGUAGGGGGCAAGCGUUGUCCGGAUUUAUUGGGCGUAAAGCGCACGUAGGCGGCUCUAUAAGUCGGAUGUGAAAUCCCUCGGCUCAACCAAGGAAGUGCAUCCGAAACUGUGGAGCUUGAGUACUUAAGAGGAUCGCGGAAUUCCCGGUGUAGAGGUGAAAUUCGUAGAUAUCGGGAGGAACACCAGUGGCGAAGGCGGCGAUCUGGGAAGAUACUGACGCUGAGGUGCGAAAGCGUGGGGAGCAAACAGG
rnacentral:rRNA from 1 species